GAUGAACGCUGGCGGCGUGCCUAAUACAUGCAAGUCGAGCGAACAGACGAGGAUCUUGCUCCUUUGCCGUUAGCGGCGGACGGGUGAGUCACACGUGGGUAACCUACCUAUAAGACUGGGAUCACUUCGGGAACCCGGAUCUCAUACCGGAUCAUAUUUCGAACCGCAUGGUUCGAUAGUGAAAGAUGUCUUUGCUGUCACUUAUAGAUGUACCUGCGCCGUAUUAGCUAGUUGGUAAGGUAACGGCUUACCAAGGCUACGAUACGUAGCCGACCUGAGAGGGUGAUCGGCCACACUGGAACUGAGACACGGUCCAGACUCCUACGGGAGGCAGCAGUAGGGAAUAUUCCGCAAUGGGCGAAAGCCUGACGGAGCAACGCCGCGUGAGUGAUGAAGGUCUUCGGAUCGUAAAACUCUGUUAUUAGGGAAGAACAAACGUGUAAGUAACUGUGCACGUCUUGACGGUACCUAAUCAGAAAGCCACGGCUAACUACGUG
rnacentral:rRNA from 1 species